CAGUGCUCCUGAGUUCAAUCCCUGGUGCCCACACACACACAAAAGGGGCGGGGAUGGGGAUGUAUGUAAAGUGGUUAAAGUGCCCCUGGGUUCAACCCCCAGUACCAAGAUAAAUAAAACUUGUUCUAAAAAGUCUCCACUGUGAAGGAGAAUCAAGAGGGAAAUGGGGCCUGUGUGGUGGGCCCUGAUUUCCCAGCCGCGACGUGAGUGGCCCAUAUGUCCAUCCUCACCCCACCAACCAGAUCUGUCUGACCUACUUGGCGGUAGUUCGCUUCAAGCGCGCAGGUAAGUGCUUUGAGAUCGCCUGCUUCAAGAACAAGGUUUGGGCGCAGCAGCGUGGAAAAAGACCUUGGAUGAAAUCCUGCAAAUCCACUCAAUGUAAAUGUUUCUAAAGGUCAGGUUGCAAAGAAGGAAGAUCUCAUUAGUGCAUUUGGAACAUAUGACCCAAACUGAAGUCUGUAAGCAGAUUUUGACUAACAGGUUCAGAUAUCAGAUAAAGGCACACACAGCUGGAGCAGAUGUUUAGGGAUACUGUGGCAGCCAUUGUGGCAGACAAAUGUGUCAACCCAGAAACAAAGAAGCCAUACACCAUUAUCCUUGUUGAGAGAGGUAUGAAGGACAUCCAGUAUUCAGUCAAACUCAGCAAGAGUACAGAAUAGCAGGCUUUGUAAGUGAUAAAGUAGCUGAAGGGAGAAAUGAAGAUCAAAUGUGUGGACAGGAGGCUUUGGUUCAUUCCAGUGAAUGAAAGGAAGAAGCUGAAGGAAAAGCUCAAGUCAUUGAUGAAGGUUAUAGAAAGCAAGACUAGAGCCAGCGGCAAGAAAUUGUGUCUUAUUGACCCAGGCUGCUUCUGAGAUAUUGGUGAGCUAAUAAAAAAGGAAACAAACGGGAAAGUUUCUUUGGAAGUACUCAAUUUGACAUUUCUGUCUUGUGUUAAUGUGAACAUAAAAAGACUUCCUACAUGAGGAUAAUGUGGGAAUCAUUUUGUUUUAAUUUUUAAAUUGCUAUUCUAAGCAAAAAUGAAAAUUCAAAAGUACAAGUCCAGGGGCUGGGGUUGUGGCUCAGGGGCAGAACGCUGGCCUAGCUGGCAAGGCUCUGGGUUCGAUCCUCAGCACCACAUAAAAAUAAAAUAAAGGUAUUGUGUCCAACUACAACUAAAAAGCAAAUAUUUUUAAAAAAAGUACCAAGUCCAGAGGAUCAUUUUGCUGCUGUCUGAGGCCUUUAUUACUUUCCAAAAUGAAAGCUACUUGAGACAACUCUUAAGGCUAAAAAGUUACAAUUUUGUACAUUAUAUAAGUAAGAUUACUUGGGGGGAUGUAUGACAAAAAGCAGUAUUUACUGGAAAAGAAAACGUAUCUUGUUUCUACGUCAUACAGCCUGAGCCCGUAGGGGUAACUAUCAUGUGGGUCAAGCUUGGAUGAUGACUUCCUGAUUAUCUGAAAUAGGCAUGUGGUGGCUGCAGGACUAAAUGAUAGUCACUGAACAUGCUGCCGCAACUGGGAUUGUUCUUGGUAAAAUAAAAUGUCAUUCACUUCUGAUUCUUA
rnacentral:lncRNA from 1 species